rnacentral:rRNA from 1 species
UGCCAGCCGCCGCGGUAAUACGGAGGGGGCUAGCGUUGUUCGGAAUUACUGGGCGUAAAGCGCGCGUAGGCGGCUAUUUAAGUCAGAUGUGAAAGUCCACGGCUCAACCGUGGAAGUGCAUUUGAAACUGGAUGGCUUGAGUACUGGAGGGGGUGGUGGAAUUCCCGGUGUAGAGGUGAAAUUCGUAGAUAUCGGGAAGAAUACCGGUGGCGAAGGCGAGCUUCUGGCCAGAUACUGACGCUGAGAUGCGAAAGCGUGGGGAGCGAACAGGAUUAGAUA